GCGAAGAGGUAAAGGGGGAGAUAAAGGGAGGUAAUUAAAAAGGGAGAGAUCGUAGAGGUUUUUGUUAUGUAGAGGUUUAUCUUUAAAACCCUCUUUUUAAUUACCUUCCUUUAUCUCCCCCUUUACCUCUUCGCU